GUAGGUGAACCUGCGGAAGGAUCAUUAAAUAAUCAAUAAUCUUGGCUUGUCCAUUAUUAUCUAUUUACUGUGAACUGUAUUAUUAUUUGACGUUUGAGGGAUGUUCCAAUGUUAUAAGGAUAGACAUUGGAAAUGUUAACCGAGUCAUAAUCAGGUUUAGGCCUGGUAUCCUAUUAUUAUUUACCAAAUGAAUUCAGAAUUAAUAUUGUAACAUAGACCUAAAAAAUCUAUAAAACAACUUUUAACAACGGAUCUCUUGGUUCUC
rnacentral:misc_RNA from 1 species